ACUCCUACGGGAGGGCAGCAGUAGGGAAUCUUCCACAAUGGGCGCAAGCCUGAUGGAGCAACACCGCGUGAGUGAAGAAGGGUUUCGGCUCGUAAAGCUCUGUUGUUAAAGAAGAACACGUAUGAGAGUAACUGUUCAUACGUUGACGGUAUUUAACCAGAAAGUCACGGCUAACUACGUGCCAGCAGCCGCGGUAAUACGUAGGUGGCAAGCGUUAUCCGGAUUUAUUGGGCGUAAAGAGAGUGCAGGCGGUUUUCUAAGUCUGAUGUGAAAGCCUUCGGCUUAACCGGAGAAGUGCAUCGGAAACUGGAUAACUUGAGUGCAGAAGAGGGUAGUGGAACUCCAUGUGUAGCGGUGGAAUGCGUAGAUAUAUGGAAGAACACCAGUGGCGAAGGCGGCUACCUGGUCUGCAACUGACGCUGAGACUCGAAAGCAUGGGGUAGCGAACAGGAUUAGAUACCCUGGUAGGAUAG
rnacentral:rRNA from 1 species